rnacentral:rRNA from 1 species
AGUGAACGCUGGCGGUAGGCCUAACACAUGCAAGUCGAACGGCAGCACAGUAAGAGCUUGCUCUUACGGGUGGCGGGUGGCGGACGGGUGAGGAAUACAUCGGAAUCUACUUUUUCGUGGGGGAUAACGUAGGGAAACUUACGCUAAUACCGCAUACGACCUACGGGUGAAAGCAGGGGAUCUUCGGACCUUGCGCGAUUGAAUGAGCCGAUGUCGGAUUAGCUAGUUGGCGGGGUAAAGGCCCACCAAGGCGACGAUCCGUAGCUGGUCUGAGAGGAUGAUCAGCCACACUGGAACUGAGACACGGUCCAGACUCCUACGGGAGGCAGCAGUGGGGAAUAUUGGACAAUGGGCGCAAGCCUGAUCCAGCCAUACCGCGUGGGUGAAGAAGGCCUUCGGGUUGUAAACCCCUUUUGUUGGGAAAGAAAAGCAGCAGGUUAAUACCCCGCUGUUCUGACGGUACCCAAAGAAUAAGCACCGGCUAACUUCGUG